rnacentral:rRNA from 1 species
UACGUAGGGUGCGAGCGUUAAUCGGAAUUACUGGGCGUAAAGCGUGCGCAGGCGGUCUUGUAAGACAGGUGUGAAAUCCCCGGGCUUAACCUGGGAACUGCAUUUGUGACUGCAAGGCUGGAGUACGGCAGAGGGGGAUGGAAUUCCGCGUGUAGCAGUGAAAUGCGUAGAUAUGCGGAGGAACACCGAUGGCGAAGGCAAUCCCCUGGGCCUGUACUGACGCUCAUGCACGAAAGCGUGGGGAGCAAACAGG